rnacentral:lncRNA from 1 species
UAUCAGUAGAAACAUAGUAAUACAAUUGUUUGGAGUCUUUUCUUCCUUCCUUCCUUCCUUCCUUUCUUUCUUUCUUUUUUUUUUUAAGAAGGAGAAGGGAUGGGGAAGUGGAGGCACUGUCACCUGCAGCCUCAGGAACUGUCACCUGCGGCCUCGAGAGGAGAAACACAGGGGAAGUGUAACCUCCCCACUCCAGGAAGAUGCUGACCUGGCUUGCAAUUUCUUGGAGGAAACAGGUAUUUGGAUUCCCUAUAUCAACAGAGAAGGGAAAAGGGGUUGGAAAGAUGGCACAGAGAUUACAAGAGCUGGCUGCUUUUCCAGAGGACCCACCCAGUGGCUCACAACCGUUCACUUCCAGAGGGACGGGCAUCCUCUUCUGACCUCUGAGGACAUUGUACAUGCAUGGUGCAUAGAUUUACAUGCAAGCAAACGCCUGUACACGUAAAAUAAGUAAUAAAAGUCUUUAACACAUCUCUUUAAA